rnacentral:rRNA from 1 species
GACGAACGUUGGCGACGUGCUUAAUACAUGCAAGUCAACUGAAGCAGUGGUAGCCUUAUCGCUGUGGCGGUGGCGCCCGGGUGAGUAACACGUAGGUAAUCUGCCUUCAGGUCUGGCAUAAUUCCGGGAAACCGGGGCUAAUAGCAGCUGAUGCUGCGGCGCGACAUAGAGACCGUUGGUAAAACUAUGUCGUCCUGAGACGAGGCUGCGUCUGCUUAGCUCGUUGGCGGGGUAAUGACCCACCAAUGCAACGAUGAGUUGAUGGUCUGAGAGGAUGAUCAGCAACAGUGAAACUGAGACACGGUCUAGAGUACUACGCGAGGCAGCAGUAAGGAAUAUUGGUGAAUGGGAGAAAUCCUGAAGCAGCAACGGCGCGGGAGGUACGAAGAUCUUUAGAUUGUAAUCCUCGGUAGGAAGAGAAGAAAAUCCCAAUCUGUGGGACAUGAUGGUAUCUCAAAAGUAAGCCCCGGCUAACUACGUG